UACGGGGGGGGCAAGCGUUGUUCGGAAUUACUGGGCGUAAAGGGCUCGUAGGCGGCCAACUAAGUCAGACGUGAAAUCCCUCAGCUUAACUGGGGAACUGCGUCUGAUACUGGAAAGCUUGAGUGCAGGAGAGGAACGCGGAAUUCCAGGUGUAGCGGUGAAAUGCGUAGAUAUCUGGAGGAACACCGGUGGCGAAGGCGGCGUUCUGGACUGCAACUGACACUGAGGAACGAAAGCCAGGGGAGCAAACGGG
rnacentral:rRNA from 1 species